rnacentral:rRNA from 1 species
UGGGGAAUAUUGCACAAUGGGCGCAAGCCUGAUGCAGCGACGCCGCGUGAGGGAUGACGGCCUUCGGGUUGUAAACCUCUUUCACCAGGGACGAAGCUUUUGUGACGGUACCUGGAGAAGAAGCACCGGCCAACUACGUGCCAGCAGCCGCGGUAAUACGUAGGGUGCGAGCGUUGUCCGGAAUUACUGGGCGUAAAGAGCUCGUAGGCGGUUUGUCGCGUCGUCUGUGAAAUUCUGCAGCUUAACUGCAGGCGUGCAGGCGAUACGGGCAGACUUGAGUACUACAGGGGAGACUGGAAUUCCUGGUGUAGCGGUGAAAUGCGCAGAUAUCAGGAGGAACACCGGUGGCGAAGGCGGGUCUCUGGGUAGUAACUGACGCUGAGGAGCGAAAGCGUGGGUAGCGAACAGG